UCAAGUUAUUAAGGGUGCAGGGCGGAUGCCUUGGCACUAGGAGCCGAUGAAGGACGUGAUAAGCUGCGAUAAGCUUCGGGGAGUUGCACGUAAACUUUGAUCCGAAGAUUUCCGAAUGAGGAAACUCACUUAGAGUAAUGUCUAAGUAUCAUUAAGUGAAUACAUAGCUUAAUGAGGGGAACUCAGGGAACUGAAACAUCUAAGUACCUGAAGGAAGAGAAAGAAAUUCGAUUCCGUAAGUAGCGGCGAGCGAACGCGGAUUAGCCCAAACCAAUAAAGUUUUCUUUAUUGGGGUUGCGGACAUAUCAUAACGAAGAGGUAUCGUAAUUGAAGAGGUUUGGAAAGACCCACCACAGAAGGUAAUAGUCCUGUAUGUUAAACGAGAAGACUUUAGAUAUGAUCCAGAGUACCACGGACACGUGAAACCCUGUGGGAAGCAGGAGGGACCACCCUCCAAGGCUAAAUACUACCUAGUGACCGAUAGCGUAUAGUACCGUGAGGGAAAGGUGAAAAGAACCCCGGGAGGGGAGUGAAAUAGAACCUGAAACCCUGCACUUACAAGCUGUGGAAGCACAUUUCUUGUGUGACCGCGUACUUUUUGUAGAACGGGCCAACGAGUUACGUUAAGUAGCAAGGUUAAGCACUUAAGGUGCGGAGCCGUAGCGAAAGCGAGUUUUAACUGAGCGUUCAGUUACUUGACGUAGACCCGAAACCGGGCGACCUACCCAUGAGCAGGAUGAAGCGAAAGUAAAAUUUCGUGGAGGUCCGAACCCACGAGCGUUGAAAAGCUCGGGGAUGACUUGUGGGUAGCGGUGAAAUUCCAAUCGAGCCCGGAGAUAGCUGGUUCUCCCCGAAAUAGCUUUAGGGCUAGCCUCAAGGUGAGAGAUACGGAGGUAGAGCACUGAAUGUCCUAGGGGGUAUUGCACCUACCGAAGACUAUCAAACUCCGAAUGCCGUCAUCUUAUACUUGGGAGUCAGACUGUGGGUGAUAAGAUUCAUAGUCGAAAGGGCAACAGCCCAGAUCGUCAGCUAAGGUCCCUAAAUGUAAGUUAAGUGGUAAAGGAUGUGGGAUUGCACAGACAACCAGGAUGUUGGCUUAGAAGCAGCCACUCAUUCAAAGAGUGCGUAAUAGCUCACUGGUCGAGUGAUCCUGCGCCGAAGAUUUCCGGGGCUAAAACUUACUACCGAAGCUACGGCAUCAGUAAUGAUGGGUAGGGGAGCUUCCCAUACGGGUUGAAGCAUGACCGUAAGGACAUGUGGACAGUAUGGGAGUGAGAAUGUUGGCAUGAGUAGCGAGAUGUGGGUGAGAAUCCCACAGGCCGUAAACCCAAGGUUUCCAGGGGAAGGUUCGUCCGCCCUGGGUUAGUCGGGACCUAAGCUGAGGCCGAAAGGCGUAGGUGAUGGACAACAGGUUGAUAUUCCUGUACUACCGAUAACCGUUUGAGAGAAGGGAUGACACAGUAGGAUAAGCUAAGCACACUGUUGGUUAUGUGUGCCCAAGCAUUGAGGCAGUCAAAGUAGGCAAAUCCGCUUUGAUAAUGCUGGGAUGUGAUGGGGAGCGAAAUUUAGUAGCGAAGUAGCUGAUUUCACACUGUCAAGAAAAGUCUCUAUCGAGGUUAAAGGUACCCGUACCGCAAACCGACACAGGUGGGUGAGGAGAGUAUCCUAAGGCCAGCGAGAGAACUGUUGUUAAGGAACUCGGCAAAAUGACCCCGUAACUUAGGGAUAAGGGGUGCCACCAUCAGGUGGCCGCAGAGAAUAGGCCCAAGCGACUGUUUACCAAAAACAUAGGUUUCUGCUAAGUCGCAAGACGAUGUAUAGGAGCUGACGCCUGCCCGGUGCUGGAAGGUUAAGGGGAUCUGUUAGAGCAAUCGAAGCAGUGAACUUAAGCCCCAGUAAACGGCGGCCGUAACUAUAACGGUCCUAAGGUAGCGAAAUUCCUUGUCGGGUAAGUUCCGACCCGCACGAAAGGCGUAACGAUUUGGGCACUGUCUCAACAACAGACUCGGUGAAAUUGUAAUUCCGGUGAAGAUGCCGGAUACCUGCGACAGGACGGAAAGACCCCAUGGAGCUUUACUGUAGCUUGACAUUGGGUCUUGGUACUACAUGUACAGGAUAGGUGGGAGGCUUUGAAACCAGGACGCCAGUUUUGGCGGAGCCAUCCUUGGGAUACCACCCUUGUAGUACUGGGACUCUAACCAUAGGCCAUGAAUCUGGUCUUGGGACACUGUCAGGUGGGCAGUUUGACUGGGGCGGUCGCCUCCCAAAAGGUAACGGAGGCGCUCAAAGGUUCUCUCAGUACGGUCGGAAAUCGUACGUAGAGUGUAAAGGCAAAAGAGAGCUUGAUUGCAAGACAUACAGGUCGAGCAAGGAUGAAAAUCGGACUUAGUGAUCCGGUGGUUCUGCGUGGAAGGGCCAUCGCUCAACGGAUAAAAGCUACCCUGGGGAUAACAGGCUUAUCUCCCCCAAGAGUCCACAUCGACGGGGAGGUUUGGCACCUCGAUGUCGGCUCAUCACAUCCUGGGGCUGUAGUAGGUCCCAAGGGUUGGGCUGUUCGCCCAUUAAAGUGGUACGCGAGCUGGGUUCAGAACGUCGUGAGACAGUUCGGUCCCUAUCCGUCGCAGGCGUAGGAAAUUUGAGAAGACCUGUCCUUAGUACGAGAGGACCGGGAUGGACGUACCUCUGGUGUACCAGUUGUCCUGCCAAGGGCAUGGCUGGGUAGCUAUGUACGGAAUGGAUAAGCGCUGAAAGCAUCUAAGCGCGAAGCCAACUUCAAGAUAAGAUUUCCCACCGCAAGGGUAAGACCCCAGAAAGACUAUCUGGUUGAUAGGUCGAAGGUGUAAGUGCAGCAAUGUAUUUAGCUUAUCGAUACUAAUAGGUCGAGGACUUGACCAA
rnacentral:rRNA from 1 species